UCCAAAAGAUACACAAAUGCCGAACAUAUAAACAGAACCUACAAUUCGAAUAUGGGAUUCCUCUUUAAGACAUCUAUGUAUUAUCGUCCGUGUGAUUUCACUGGAGAAGUCUCCCAUACUAAUAUACGUACUAGAAGCCACUACAUCCAGGUCUGGAUAGAUAAUCGACAUCUGGCCUUAUCUGCGGCAAUCUGAAACCUAAAUGACGCCAACAGAUCCAUACCCUCUGCCAGACAGAGGCGGUCGCCCGGCGCCACGACCGCUCCCUGCCUCCUCCGCAGCCACGGCCGCGGCCGCCUCUGCCUCCGAGGCCUUGCGCGCCUCCGCGACGCGCUCCUCG
rnacentral:lncRNA from 1 species